rnacentral:rRNA from 1 species
GCUAAUAUUAAGCCCACACAAACCAAAUUAAAAACAUUUAUAAUUAAAAAUAAAUCAUUAAUCACAAAUUUAGUAUAGGUGAUAGAAAAAUUAACACAGGAGCAAUAACGACAGUACCGUAAGGGAAAAAUGAAAGAAAUGAUUUAAAGCACAAAUAAGCAAAGAUUUAAUCUUGUACCUUUUGCAUAAUGAUUUAGCUAGCAAUAAUUGGACAAAAAGAAUUUAGCCCACCUCCCCGAAAUUAAGUGAGCUACUAUAAAACAGCAUAAAAGAGCCAACUCAUCUAUGUAGCAAAAUAGUGAGAAGAUUUUAUAGUAGAGGUGAAAAGCCAACCGAACUUAAAGAUAGCUGGUUAUCCAAAAUAUGAAUUUAAGUUCAACUUUAAAUUUAAUUUAAGUACAAAUAAACUAAACUUAGAUUUAAAAGCUAAUCAAAAGGGGGACAACUCUUUUGAUAAUGUAAACAAACUUGUUUAGAGGAUAAUGAUAAAAACAAAUACAUAGUUGGCCUAAAAGCAGCCACCAAUUAAGAAAGCGUUAAAGCUCAAAUAUUAAAUUAAUUUAAUUCCACAAAAAAAUCAAAAUCCCUAAUUUUCUAUUGGAUGAUUCUAUUUAUGUAUAGAAGACAUAAUGCUAAUAUUAGUAACAUGAAAUAAUUCUCUUUGCACUAGCUUAAAUUAGAAACGGAAAAUCCACUAACAAUUAACAAACUAUUUGACAUAAUUCUACUACUAGCCAUCUCUAAAUAUUAUUGUUAACCCAACACAGGAGUGCAUUUAAAGAAAGAUUAAAAAGAAUAAAAGGAACUCGGCAAACUAAAACCCCGCCUGUUUACCAAAAACAUCACCUCUAGCAUAAUAAGUAUUAGAGGCACUGCCUGCCCAGUGAGUAAAACUUUAACGGCCGCGGUAUCCUGACCGUGCAAAGGUAGCAUAAUCACUUGUCUCUUAAAUAGAGACUUGUAUGAAUGGCAUAACGAGGGUUUAACUGUCUCUUAUUCUCAAUCAGUGAAAUUGACCUCCCCGUGCAGAGGCGGGGAUUAAAAUACAAGACGAGAAGACCCUGUGGAGCUUAAGACUCAUAAAUUAAUUAAAAUUAACUUAUUAAUCCAAGGAUGCAACUUCAUUCUAAAUAUAAUUUAUAGUCUUUGGUUGGGGUGACCUCGGAGCACAAAAAAACCUCCGAAUGAUAUAACCUAAAUCAACUAAUUUAAGUGUAUCACUACCAGUAAUUGACCCAUAUAUUGAUCAACGGACCAAGUUACCCCAGGGAUAACAGCGCAAUCCUAUUUAAGAGCCCAUAUCGACAAUUUAGGGUUUACGACCUCGAUGUUGGAUCAGGACAUCCAAAUGGUGCAACCGCUAUUAAUGGUUCGUUUGUUCAACGAUUAAAGUCCUACGUGAUCUGAGUUCAGACCGGAGAAAUCCAGGUCGGUUUCUAUCUGUAUAUUUAUUUCUCCCAGUACGAAAGGACAAGAGAAAUAAGGCCAACAUUACCAAAUGAGCCUUAGAACCAACAUAUGAUUUUAUCUCAAUAUUUUAAUUCAAAAAUAUUUACACUCUAGAAAAGAGC